GUGCUCGCUUCAGCAGCACAUAUACUAAAAUUGGAACGACACAGAGAAGAUUAGCAUGGCCCCUGCUCAAGGAUGACACUCAAAUUCAUGAAGCAUUCCAUUU
rnacentral:snRNA from 1 species